GUCUUUGGCCACGCCGCCCUGAACGAGCCCGAUCCCGUCUGAUCUCGGAAGCUAAGCAGGGUCGGGCCUGAUGAGUACUUGGAUGGGAGACCACCUAGGAAGACCAGGUGCUGUAGGCG
rnacentral:rRNA from 1 species